rnacentral:rRNA from 1 species
UACAGAGGUCUCGAGCGUUGUUCGGAUUCAUUGGGCGUAAAGGGCGCGUAGGCGGCGGGGUAAGUCGGGUGUGAAAUCUCGGAGCUUAACUCCGAAACUGCAUUCGAUACUGCCGUGCUUGAGGACUGGAGAGGAGACUGGAAUUUACGGUGUAGCGGUGAAAUGCGUAGAUAUCGUAAGGAAGACCAGCGGCGAAGGCGGGUCUCUGGACAGUUCCUGACGCUGAGGCACGAAGGUCAGGGGAGCAAACGGG